rnacentral:rRNA from 1 species
AUGCCUGUCCUCCGCAUCGGUACGUCCAUCUCUGUUAGAUACGGGUCCUCGACCCUAUUCUGGUUCGACCGAUGGCUUGGGGACUCCCCCUUGGUUGUGCGGUUCCUAGAACUCUUUGCCAUUGCGGCCGACCCUCGGGUCUCUGUCGAGACGGCCCUUAUUAACUUAGGGCGUCUUGCUUUCCGUCGCCCCUUCGGCCCCCUCGAGGUGGCUGCUUGGGACUCCCUCCUCCAAGACGUGGCCGUUAUGCCGAUGAACGUCGAGAGGACCGAUGCCAUUUCUUGGCACCUUGAGCCGUCUGGCCGCUUCUCCACGAAGUCCUUGUACGCCGCCAUCGCGCCCUCGAUGGCCCCGGAACCCUUUAGCCUGAUCUGGGACAUCCGCCUCCCUGUGAAGAUCAGGAUCUUCCUGUGGCAAUGGAUCCGUGGACGCCUCCCCUCUGGGGUUGAAGUCCUCAAGCGUAACGGCCCGGGCAAUGGGAGGUGCCCCAUCUGUGGCACGAUCGAGGAUGCUAACCACAUCUUCUUCUCGUGCUCUACUGCCCAGUUCAUGUGGGCUUGCUUCCGCGAAACAGUCGAUUGA